rnacentral:lncRNA from 1 species
UGACAGAACAGGGGACCAAACAAAGGCAACUUUUAUAGUGGAAUGGUCAAGAAAGAAGGGUUUAAAAACUAUCUAUGCUUCAGAAGCAAAGAAUCCAUUCGAAAAAAGGGGAGAAAUCAUAAUUUUAUUCAAACAGGUACUCACAAUAAGCAAGGGGGAAAAUAUUGACUUCACUUCACCAUACAUGUUAGUGAAAGAUUCAAAACUCAAUAGGCCCANAACCACAAAGUANAGAGGUUAACUCAGUUUAUAAUUUUCUCUAGCAACACGCACCAACAUGGUCAAAAGGGAAUAUGUAGUAUACAUUAUGAUACUCACCGUACGUCGGCGGAAGGACACAACAGCAAGGGCGGUGCUCGGAGAGUGGGAAGAAACGCCAGUAAUCGACGUUCUCGGGGCGUCACGGUGGAAGCUUCUGUCGAAGAGAGGCUUCUGUCCUCCGGUGGCCGUGUGAAGAGACGCGACUUCUAUGAACGACGACAGAGUCUGGGUAGUCCUCCGGUGGUCGUUGAACGGCGAACCACGGUGGCAACGCGACGAAAAUUUGUCGUUGAGAGGGAGAGUUUCUCUCUCUAAGGUUUCUUUGUGAAUCUGAAAAUGAAAUAUGAAAUCUUUCCUUCCCUUUUCACACAGACCCCUCCACUAAUUCAAUAAUCCACGUCAUUUUUUAUUUUUUUUUAUUUUCUUAAACUUCAACCAAUGAGAACGUGACAUGUCAUUGGUGUAAAAAAUUUGUCACCACAAAGAUGUCAAAGUAUCAUUUUCCUUAUUUUAAGGAUUGAUUUUAUUUUUACGAAUUGGUUUUAUGAUUUUGAUUUACUUUAAUUUGUUUAUAAAAUGAUUUGAUUUUGAUUAAUUUGGUAACGUGUGAUUUUAUGUGAUUUUUAUUAUUAAAUUUUAUUUUAUCUUAUUGGUUGAU